rnacentral:rRNA from 1 species
AGUUUUGAGCUAAAUAUAUUAUAAUAUUAGUUAUUUAUGGAAGGUGUUGUAAAAUCUUAUUAAAAAUUAUAUUUAGGGGUGAUAGGCCUUUCAAAAACUAAGAUAUCUUGAAUCUAAUUAAAAGUAUGUAGUACAUUUAACACAACUAUUAAGUGACUAGGCUUUAUAGAACUAUUAACUUAUUAGAGAUUUUAUUUACUAUAAUUUAAUAAUUAAGUAUAUAAGUAUAUUAAUAUUUAUUUAUUAUAAUUUAUAAGGAGUAAUUAGAUAAAAUUAAAGCUUAUAAAUUUUGUAAUAAUGUUAAUAUUAGUAUUAAGUUUAUAUUUAUAUGAUGAACUCGGCAAAAAUGCUUCUCAACUGUUUAUCAAAAACAUAACUAUGUGAAUAAAUACAUAGCGGUUUCUGCUCAA